UAUUCAACUAGCUACACCUGCAAGCUACUUCACACUCAUUUGUCAUUGUGUCUGGUUUCCAGGUAAAUUUAAUCUAUUAGUAAACAAACAACCAGCAAGUUAACGUAACGGAUCUGAGGUUAGUGUAUAUAAGUGACAAUGGAAGACAACUCUAACCACAUCGGCUCCAACAGCAGACUUGAACUUGCGGUGAUCAGAAGCGAAUCAACUUGAACGAAAAUGAAAACAUUCGUCGCCUUGGUCUUUACAGUCGCUUUCGCCUGUCUGGUCUCAAAGAUUGAUGCACAGAAAUGCA
rnacentral:sRNA from 1 species